GUCCUACGGGACGCAGCAGUGAGGAAUAUUGGUCAAUGGGCGGAAGCCUGAACCAGCCAAGUCGCGUGAGGGAAUAAGGCCCUACGGGUCGUAAACCUCUUUUGCCGGGGAGCAAGGGCGGGGACGUGUCCCGGCCCGGAGAGUACCCGGAGAAAAAGCAUCGGCUAACUCCGUGCCAGCAGCCGCGGUAAUACGGAGGAUGCGAGCGUUAUCCGGAUUUAUUGGGUUUAAAGGGUGCGUAGGCGGCGCUGCAAGUCCGGAGUGAAAGCCCAUGGCUUAACCAUGGUACUGCUCUGGAAACUGUG
rnacentral:rRNA from 1 species